rnacentral:rRNA from 1 species
GACAGAGGUCCCGAGCGUUAGGCGGAAUCACUGGGCUUAAAGCGUGUGUAGGCGGAGUUCUAAGUACCUUGUGAAAUCCCACGGCUCAACCGUGGAACUGCUUGGUAUACUGGUUCUCUUGAGCCACCUAGGGGCAACCGGAACAAACGGUGGAGCGGUGAAAUGCGUAGAUAUCGUUUGGAACGCCAAUGGUGAAAACAGGUUGCUGGGGGUGUGCUGACGCUGAGACACGAAAGCCGGGGGAGCAAACGGG